AACGCACAUUGCGCCCCUCGGUAUUCCGUGGGGCAUGCCUGUUCGAGCGUCAUUUACACCCUCAAGCUCUGCUUGGUGUUGGGCGUCUGUCCCGCUUUAUGCGUGGACUCGCCCCAAAGUCAUUGGCAGCGGUCGUGCCAGCUUCUCGCGCAGCACAUUUGCGUUUCUUGAAGUUUGGAGGAUCAGCAUCCAGUAAGCUCUUUUAUGACUUGACCUCGGAUCAGGUAGGGAUACCCGCUGAACUUAA
rnacentral:misc_RNA from 1 species